AUUAUAUAUGGGCUUCAUGUUGUACGUAUAACCCCAAUUAUAUUUCCUUCUUCCGUCUGCGUUAAGACGACGUCACCGUCGCGUCGAUCCAAGUACAGGCCACCGCCUCUUACCAGAAAAGGUGUAACGUUCUAGGCUUUCAUUCAAUCUCCGUGAUUUACGUUCCCAAUCACCUUCAUUAACUCCCAUUCAGUAGCACCUUCACCCUCCUCGAUGGUUACAAAACUUAUCCUAUAAAUAAGGAGGUAAGCUUCUCCUAAAUUCACCAAUCAUCACCUCUCACCCUCAAUCAUCAUAAUACUUUGCUUAAGUAUGAAGAUUUCUUCAUGGAGAUUCUGAUAUCGCUAUGGAGUUUCGAGCUGUUGAUACACUUUGUGAAUCUUCAAUCCCGACAUUUUGUCUUCUUUUCUAAUCAACAAAAACUUAUAAAGAGAGCUAUUCAAGACGAAUUGCGAUGAAUCUGAUGAUGAUUCCUUGGAUCGAGAAGUCUUGGUGUCGUUUCAUCUCAUGUUCUUCUCCCCAGAACCCUUAAGCAAUGAAAUGAUUGUCUUUCACUAACGACCCAUCUUAUGCACACACACAAAAAAAAAGAUCUCUACUCUGUUUGAUGUUGGCUAUCUGAGUCAGACUUUGCUUAAUAGUUUGAUGUAUGAUUAAUGAGAAAGCCAGGGUCUGCUUCCCAAGGUUCGGAUAGAAGAGGUGGGUUUGAUUACAGAAAAGAUGAAAUUAACCAGACACAUGAAAAGGUGAUUAGAGCUUCAGAGACACUUGACUCAUGCAACUUGAUAGGAAAGCUCGGAACCUAACAUUAUCUUGGAGAUUGGGACUAGCAGAAGAGGUAACAGCAGGCUCUCAUGACGUCUCUGAUGCUGUGGAAACAUGACCAAAGGUGCGAUUCCUUGGUUUCUUCAAUAUAGAGUCCACGAAAUUUUUUGUAUAUUCAACUCUAUGUUCUACUUUGUAUCUUUUCAGUUGUAAAAAGGUAUAACAAAUAUGCAAUGUGCCUAUUUUUAGAGAAUAAAGUUAGGCCUCGUUUGUACA